GACGAACGCUGGCGGCGUGCUUAACACAUGCAAGUCGAACGAUGAAGUUCCUUCGGGAAUGGAUUAGUGGCGAACGGGUGAGGAACACGUGAGAAACCUGCCUUUCAUUUUGGGAUACCUCCGGGAAACCGGGGCUAACACCGAAUACUCCGUCUCGGCGGCAUCGCUGAGCCGGGAAAAAAUUUUGAUGAAAGAUGGUCUCGCGGCCUAUCAGCGAGUUGGUGAGGUAAUGGCUCACCAAGGCAACGACGGGUGGCCGGCCUGAGAGGGCGACCGGCCACACUGGGACUGAGACACGGCCCAGACUCCUACGGGAGGCAGCAGUGGGGAAUAUUGGGCAAUGGGCGCAAGCCUGACCCAGCGACGCCGCGUGAGGGAUGAAGGCCUUCGGGUUGUAAACCUCUUUCAGUAGGGAAGAAGCGAAAGUGACGGUACCUAAAGAAGAAGCACCGGCUAACUAUGUGCCAGCAGCCGCGGUAA
rnacentral:rRNA from 1 species